rnacentral:lncRNA from 1 species
UUAAAGUUAUAAAAAGAGAAAUAAAUAAAAUAAACCCAGAAAAAUAAAGUUAAAAUGGCCUUAUUACAAUCCAAAAAUAAAUACUAAAUGAAGUAACCUAAAGAAACCAGUCAUUUAUUUUAAAAGCCCAAAAGCGAUCACCGUGGCCACUCUGAAUCCCCUCCGGCUCCAAGUCACCAUAUCAAGGCCCACCUGCAAGGUUAAGGAAAGGGGGUGAGUUUGGAAACUCAGUGUGCAACAAGCCCCUUUCAGAGCCCAAAACAAUAUCAGCCUGUUGGGCCUAAGCCCAAAUUCCAUCUCAGCAUAUACUGGGCUGAAGCCUUUUCAUAUUUUAUAUUUCAUAACACCGGGCCGAAGCCUUUUCAUAUUUCAUAUUACUGGGCCGAAGCCUUUACUGUAAACGGUAUGGCCCAUAGGCCCAUUUCAAUAUCACAAGUAAUGUCAAUGAAAGAAUGCAAGCCCAUUUGGGGAGACUACUCGACCCACCAUCCGCUACUCUCCACCCGUACCAACCAAGCUCUCCAUGUGGAGAAUAACUCAACCCACCCAACCAAAACUCUCCACUGGCAGCAUAGCUGCUUUAUCAUAUAACUGGAGGCCUAGCCUCUUUUAAUAACUGGGGCAAAGCCCUUUUGAUAAACUGGGGCAAAAGCCCUUUUAAUAAACUGGGGCAAAAGCCCUUUUCGGUAAACUAGGGCAUAGCCCUUUUUGUAGUUCCUCCAUCCAUAUAAUCCCAACCCAAUGCAUUAUAAAUACAUCAUGUGCAUAUCAUACAUAUCAUGUGCAUAUCAUAUCAAUCAUGUAUAUCAAAUCCCAUGCACCAAAUUCAUAAUUAAACCCUAGGGGUAUAAUGGUCAUUUUUACCUAGGGGCAAAACAGUCAUUUUCAUAAUAUAAGGGUAAUUUCAUAAUUUUACCAAGUAUUAGGGAUUUUCCAUGUUCAUUAUCAGUUUUUAACAAUUUAUGGCUUAAAUCGCGAUUCUGGCCCAUUUUUAGUGAAACCGAGUUAUUGGGCCAAAAACCCCUAAUGGGCCCUACAUAGCCGAAUUAGUCAUUUAGGCCCAUUUAGCCUAUAUUCCAUAAUGGUAUUACUAGUCUUAACACGCAAUUUAACAAGGUUUCAUUUCCUACCAAAUUUACCCAAAUGGGCCCGUAAGCCCAUUGGGCCGAUUUCAGCCCCUCGAGGCCCAACUUACCGUGAUGCCAAAAAUCAUGCUCUUACCUUUUCCAACGUUCUCGAUCAUUAACUUAGAGAAUCUAACUAACCAAUGAACGUUUGCUUGCUCACAAGUCCUCGAAAUGCAAGAAUUUCGGCAUUUCGGCUUUUCGGCAUUUAUCGAUUUAAGCUACGAAAGAAGGUCCAUUACACACCUGACGUAGUCUAGCUACAGUUCUCACUCCUAUCGUUUUACAGUUCUACCCUAUCUAAAGUAUCAUAGUAGGGUCUCAAUUCUCAGUUCUAUUCAAGGGUAUUUCUGUAAUUUUGUAAAUUAAGGGUAUUUUGGUAAUUUUAUAAAUUGAGGGUAUUUCGGUAAUUUUACAAACUAGGGGUAUUUUGGUAAUUUUACAAACUAGGGGUAUUUUGGUAAUUCUAUCCUACAGGGGUAUUUCAGUAAUUUCACAAUCAAGGGUAAAACGAUAAUUUUAUAAACUAAAGGUAAAAUGGUAAUUUUGUAAAUCGAGGGUAAACGAUAAUUCUAUAAAUCAAGGGUAAAAUGGUAAUUCUAUAAAUCGAGCGUAAAACGGUAAUUUUGUAAAUCGAGGGUGAAACGAUAAUUCUAUAAAUCGAGGGUAAAAUGGUAAUUCUACAAAUUGAGGGUAUUUCAGUAAUUUGGUAAACUAAAGUAUUCUAAACAGGAGUAACAAUACGAACGGGCCUAAAGCCUAUUCUCGGCCCAAAUGGGCCCACACGCUCGUGUGGCCCUUUUAGCCCAAAUCUAGCCACAAAUAUGAGAUUCACCUAGCCUAGUCCAAUAUUUACUACACAAUCAAACAACUUAUCCAAUUGGGCCCGUAGGCCCACAUGACCCCUUUCGGUCCAUCAUGGCCCGAAGUAGCCAUCCUACAGGUAGAGUAGCAAGAAAAUACACACCUGAUAGGAGACUGGAGUUAAUCCACGCUCCGAGCACUCUUAGCCGACGCCCAACCCAAACGAGCACGCCAUACAAUGAAAGGGAUC